AACCCGCGGGAGCCAUUGCGUUUGACGUCAUCAUCGCGCGCCAUCUUUUCCCUUAGGUGUUUAAGUUCCGCGCGCAGGCCACGCUGCAACCUGAGGGCCAGAUCCCUCGCUGUCCUAGUCGCUGCUCCUUGGAGUCAUGUUCCCAGCCGCCCCUUCUCCGCGGACCCCGGGUACCGGGUCCCGAAGGGGCCCGCUGGCCGGACUCGGGUCCGGCUCCACGCCCCGGACGGCUAGCAGGAAGGGUCUGCCCCUGGGGUCUGCAGUCAGCUCCCCAGUGCUCUUCUCGCCGGUCGGCCGGCGUAGCUCGCUAAGCUCGCGGGGAACACCAACACGAAUGUUCCCACACCACUCCAUAACUGAGUCUGUGAACUAUGAUGUGAAAACGUUUGGAUCUUCUCUUCCUGUUAAAGUCAUGGAAGCCCUAACAUUGGCUGAAGUCGAUGACCAGCUGACCAUUAACAUAGAUGAAGGUGGAUGGGCUUGUCUGGUGUGCAAAGAGAAGCUCAUUAUUUGGAAGAUUGCUCUGUCACCUAUUACUAAGUUAUCGGUUUGCAAAGAACUUCAGCUGCCACCUAGUGAUUUCCACUGGAGUGCCGACUUAGUGGCUCUUUCUUACUCUGCUCCCUCAGGUGAAGCACAUUCUACUCAGGCUGUUGCUGUCAUGGUUGCCACCAGAGAAGGAUCUAUCCGCUAUUGGCCAAGCCUUGCUGGUGAAGAUACCUACACAGAGACUUUUGUAGAUUCGGGAGGUGAUAAGACUUACAGUUUCCUAACAGCAGUGCAGGGAGGAAGUUUUAUUUUGUCUUCGUCAGGAAGCCAACUAAUUCGGUUGAUACCUGAGAGCUCAGGAAAGAUUCAUCAGCAUAUCCUGCCUCAGGGGCAAGGCAUGCUUUCAGGAAUUGGUCGAAAAGUUUCUUCUCUUUUUGGAAUUUUAUCUCCUAGUAGUGAUCUCACACUUUCAAGUGUUCUCUGGGAUAGAGAGAGAUCAAGCUUUUAUAGCCUGACGAGUUCAAACAUCAGUAAAUGGGAAUUAGAUGAUUCUUCAGAAAAACAUGCAUACAGUUGGGAUAUAAAUAGAGCCCUGAAGGAAAACAUUACCGAUGCUAUUUGGGGAUCUGAAAGUAACUAUGAAGCUAUUAAAGAAGGAGUCAACAUUCGAUAUUUGGACUUGAAGCAAAACUGUGAUGGGCUGGUGAUUUUGGCAGCAGCAUGGCACUCAGCAGACAAUCCAUGUCUCAUCUAUUACUCUCUGAUAACAAUAGAAGAUAAUGGUUGCCAAAUGUCAGAUGCAGUUACUGUAGAAGUCACUCAAUAUAAUCCACCUUUUCAGUCUGAAGACCUGAUUUUGUGUCGGUUGACGGUCCCAAACUUUUCAAACCAGACUGCCUAUCUGUAUAACGAAAGUGCUGUCUAUGUGUGCUCCACAGGAACUGGGAAAUUUUCUCUUCCCCAGGAGAAAAUUGUCUUUAAUGCACAAGGAGAUAGUGUUUUAGGUGCUGGUGCCUGUGGUGGUGUUCCUAUCAUUUUUUCUAGAAACAGUGGACUGGUGUCUAUUACUUCAAGGGAAACUGUGUCUAUAUUGGCAGAAGACCUGGAAGGGUCCUUAGCAUCUUCAGUUGCUGGACCAAACAGUGAGAGUAUGAUUUUUGAGACCACUACAAAGAAUGAAACUAUAGCCCAGGAAGAUAAAAUCAAGUUGCUGAAAGCUGCCUUUCUGCAAUACUGCAGAAAAGAUUUAGGUCAUGCUCAAAUGGUGGUUGAUGAGCUCUUUUCCUCUCACUCUGAUUUGGAUUCUGAUUCUGAACUAGACAGGGCAGUUACCCAAAUCAGUGUAGACCUGAUGGAUGACUACCCAGCAUCUGACCCACGGUGGGCUGAGUCUGUCCCUGAGGAAGCACCUGGGUUCAGCAAUACGUCACUGAUUAUCCUUCACCAGCUAGAAGACAAGAUGAAAGCUCACUCUUUUCUUAUGGACUUUAUUCAUCAAGUUGGCUUAUUUGGACGUCUAGGCAGUUUUCCAGUUAGAGGGACACCGAUGGCCACUCGACUGUUGCUCUGUGAGCAUGCCGAAAAGCUGUCAGCCGCCAUUGUUCUCAAGAACCACCACUCCCGGCUUUCUGACCUUGUCAACACAGCCAUAUUGAUUGCUUUGAACAAGAGGGAGUAUGAAAUCCCGUCCAACCUGACUCCUGCAGAUGUCUUUUUCAGGGAGGUAUCCCAAGUAGAUACCAUCUGUGAGUGCUUACUGGAGCAUGAGGAGCAAGUCUUGAGGGAUGCACCUAUGGAUUCCAUUGAAUGGGCUGAAGUGGUGAUCAAUGUGAACAAUAUUCUCAAGGAUAUGCUGCAGGCUGCUAGUCAUUAUCGCCAAAAUAGAAACUCUUUGUAUAGAAGAGAAGAAUCACUAGAAAAAGAACCUGAAUAUGUUCCAUGGACGGCAACGAGUGGUCCUGGUGGCAUCCGAACGGUAAUAAUACGCCAGCAUGAGAUUGUCCUGAAGGUGGCUUAUCCACAGGCAGACAGCAACCUCCGAAACAUCGUGACCGAGCAGCUGGUAGCCCUGAUCGAUUGCUUCCUGGAUGGUUAUGUUUCUCAGCUUAAGUCUGUGGAUAAAUCCAGUAAUCAGGAAAGAUAUGACAAUCUGGAGAUGGAAUACCUACAGAAAAGAUCAGAUCUCUUAUCUCCUCUUCUUUCACUAGGCCAGUACCUGUGGGCUGCUUCUCUAGCAGAGAAAUACUGUGACUUUGAUAUAUUGGUACAAAUGUGUGAGCAGACUGACAACCAGAGCCGACUCCAGCGCUACAUGACCCAGUUUGCUGAUCAGAAUUUUUCAGACUUUCUCUUCCGUUGGUAUCUGGAGAAAGGAAAGCGAGGCAAAUUAUUAUCUCAGCCCAUUUCUCAGCAUGGACAGUUGGCAAAUUUUUUGCAAGCUCAUGAACAUCUCAGCUGGUUACAUGAAAUUAAUAGCCAAGAAUUAGAAAAGGCUCAUGCAACACUUCUGGGUUUGGCAAAUAUGGAAACUCGUUACUUUGCAAAGAAGAAAACCCUUCUUGGCUUGAGUAAAUUGGCUGCAUUAGCUUCAGACUUUUCAGAGGAUAUACUGCAAGAAAAAAUUGAAGAAAUGGCUGAGCAGGAGCGCUUUCUACUGCAUCAGGAGACCCUACCUGAACAGCUGCUGGCGGAGAAACAGCUAAAUCUCAGUGCGAUGCCAGUAUUGACUGCACCACAACUCAUUGGUCUAUAUAUCUGUGAAGAAAAUAGAAGAGCUAAUGAAUAUGAUUUCAAGAAAGCUUUGGACUUGUUGGAAUAUAUUGAUGAGGAAGAAGAUAUAAAUAUAAAUGAUCUAAAACUGGAAAUCAUUUGCAAAGCUCUUCAGAGAGAUAAGUAAGUGCUCGUGGCAUUGCUUCUUUGGAAAGUAUAGAAACUGCUUUUCCUCUGCUCUCACCACACGACAGUCAAUAACAGAAGACUUCUGUGACCAGACCUGUUGGGAUUUCCCACCUCCUACACUGGGCAACCACUGGUCCAGUUCUGAUGGCAAAGAUGAUCCAAUUGAAGUAUCUAAAGACAGUAUAUUUGUGAAGAUCUUACAGAAACUUUUAAAAGAUGGCAUUCAGCUCAGUGAGUACUUACCGGAGGUGAAAGACCUGCUACAAGCAGAUCAGCUUGGAAGCUUAAAGUCCAAUCCUUACUUCGAGUUUGUUUUGAAAGCAAAUUAUGAAUAUUAUGUUCAGGGACAAAUAUAACUUUUUCUAAAAAUGGCCAUUGUUUAUGAAAUCUGUAUAAGUGUGUCCUUAUACAAAUUUUAGGCCAUAAACAAUUAUAAGUUUGUACAAUUUCAUAACAUGUAUAGCUGAGUUUUUACACUUUAUAUGUAGGAAGCUAAUAUAAAAUAGUUAUGUAACUGUGAUUUUGGUUUUCAAUUAUGUGACUUGUUUUUUCCACCUGAAAUGUGUCAGUUGUUGUUCCUGUACUCGGUGCCCUUUCUUUUUCCUCUCACGUGGUCCCAGGUUCUGGAGUUCUUGUCCUGGUUCUAGCUACUCACAUGUACAAAUCACUUCUAGGCCUCAGUUUCUGUGACUGUGAAAAUUACUAGAUUGCACUAGCUUGUCUCUAAAAUUGCUGUGACUCCAGAUACUUUGCACCGAAGAGAAUCUAGGGUGUUUGGUAUCUGUUUCAGUUAGGGCUAAUGGGAAAUGUCUAGUAAGAUAAAUGUCAACUUUUGCUGACUUAUUAUGAGAUGAAAAACCAAAGGAGAGUGGGCCUAACUCAUGUGAGCUUGAUAACUGAUGAACUCAUUGGGAGCAUUUUAAACUUUUCUACAUAAAUAAUAAAUGAGCACUAAUGAAAGUAUUUAAGUGAAUGAAA